rnacentral:sRNA from 1 species
CUAGUUUUACUCGAAUUUCACAAUAUAAAUAUAUCCAGCCAUUCUUCUGUGUUGUCGAAGAAACAUAUAUAUUUUUUGAUAAUCGAUUGCAACACGGCUCUCAUUUAGUGUCAAAAAGUUCCUGGAGUAACAAGCACAAAGUGAAUUAAAUGAAAUAACUGAAGAAUAAAGUGAAAAUGGUAAGUGAAAAUGUAGACACAUCAGAUAGUGAGCUUAAGACGGCAUUAGAGGAAAUGGGGACGGUGUGUGUGUUCCUUUUUCUGCAGGUUAAAAAUCGACUUCUGAGAAAUAUGCCCAGAAAAAGAGCAUGCAUUGGUUUCAAAAUAGGACGACCUGAAGCGCAGUGUUUCCUUUUUACGAUAGGAAGAUUAAAAACCAUCUCAGCAGGCAACAGCUUACCGACGCAAAGUCGGCAAUAAAUGAAGUUUUUAUAGAUGCCCAGGACUUUCUAUUUGUUAUUUUGUUUAGCAGCACGUUUCGUUAAAUAUGUUUAGCUGUAAGAACUUUAAG